UCGCAGACGCCCGCCAUGUUCCGAGAGCCACACACUGUCCCCGCCACCUCCCUCCAGCCGCCCGCCCGGCCUCCGCCUCCCGCCGGCCCCCUCGCCGCCUCGCCCCGCCCCUCGCCCGGGCAGCCGCCAUCCGUAGCCCGCCGGCCGGCGCGCGCCAUUGGCGUCAGCGGCGCGUGGGAGGCCGCGGUGGCCGCCGCCACGGCCGCCGCCAUCUUCUUCCUGCCGUCGCCGUGGCGCGCGGCGGGCUCUGCGGACCGGGGCGCAGCGCCCGGCUCCAUGUCGCCGGGUCGCGCUGUGGGGGACGGCGGGCGGCGGCGGGGCUCGGCGUGGUUGUCCGCGCGGCCCGAGCCCCUUGUGCCCGUGCGGUGGCCGGAGUGCGCCGGCGCGACCCGCCUGGCCUUGGCUGCACGGCGACUGGGGCCGGGCUCCAGCUCUGUGGCUCCCGCCGGCGCCGACCCGGUGGCUCUGCUGUCUUGGCUGCAUCUCUCCUGCAUAUUUAUGAUCGUCUGUCACAUUCCCUGUCCGUGGACAGUGUCCAAAGCCUAGCUCGGGGGAGCGUGCCAACAGCCAGAUGAGGAUAUAGCCAAGUGGAGAAUUGCUUAAGCAAAUUGAAAUGCAGACCUGGCCUGAAAAUUUCCCUAGCUAACAGUCCGGUUCCACCUUGGAAAUAAGCUUGCUGAAAUUGAAAACAUGAUCAAAACUUUGCCUUAUUAUUUGCAAAUGCUUAUGAUAUAGAAAAAAUUUUUAAGCUCUACCAGCGACAUAACCUCAACACUCCAGGGAGUCUGCACUGGGAUGGACAAAAAAUAAAGUGGCCAUGGGACUAUUGCAGCCAGAUCUGUUCUUUCUUUCCAUGCUCAUUUUGUGGAAGCUUGUCCCUGGGCUUCUCUGAUGGAGCCCCAAGCCCCUUCUGAAUUUGUACUUCAGGAUCUGUGAAUUGUUGCUUGCUCAAAUACAUUCUUGAACAUUUU
rnacentral:lncRNA from 1 species